rnacentral:tRNA from 1 species
GGCUCCGUAGCUUUGAGGAAAGAAGCGCCCGUCUAGCGAAUGGGUAGUCGUGUGUGGGUUCGAUUCCCACUGGAGUAC